UACACUUCCAUAUCAUUGAAGGAAGACAGGAGAGAGCAGGAACUUGGAGGCAGGAGUUGAUGCAGAGGCCAUGGAAGGGUGCUGCUUACUGGCUUGCCCCACUUGGCUUGCUCAGCCUGCUUUCUUAUAGAACCCAGGGCUACCAUCCCAGGGAUAGCACCACCCACCGUGGGCUGGGUCUUUCUCAUCAAUCACUGAUUAAGAAAUAUGCCCUACAGGCUUGCCUGCAGUCCAGUCUAUGGAGGCAUUUUUCUCAAUUGAGGGUCCCUUCUCUCAGCUGACUUUAGCUUGUGUCAAGUUGACAUAAAACUAGUCAGCACACCAACCAAGGUUAUGCUCGAUGACUUCAUAAUCAAGGGUGGAAGAUGGGUCAAGGGAAGAUAGAUACCUGUGCUCAGAAAGGGAGGGUGGGUGUGAGCAGUAGGCAUGGUGACAGCUGCUACAUGCUAGGGCAACACUUACUCCAGGGCCUGGCCAAACACCUGCAAUCAUACAAUGGGGGGUGCUUCCUUCUCAUGAGGGGCAAGGAUGAGGAACAAAGCCAAAAUUACAUUGAGCUCUUUUCUUAGGCUCCUGUGACCUUAAUGAGCCUAAGCAGGUCAGUGAGGUAGGUGACAGUGUCAAGUGCCCACGAGGCCUGUAGACUGGUUCUCCAAAAGCUGUAAACAGAAUAAAGUGGAGCGGAUAACGAUGGGGACCUCAGAGCUCACUCAGUCAAGGUCACACUCCAAUGACCACUGUGGACACUGAGAAGAUCAUUCAUUUACAUUCUGCUUAGCUCUAGAGUUGACCAAGCGCUGGCUCCUUCAUGGACCGCCAGGAAAGGGGACUUGGACAACACCUAAGAAAGACAAAUAGCUACCAAAGGCUGAAGGAAAAACAACAACAACAACCAACCUCAACUUAUCAACUGUCCUUCCUCAUCUCUGAGGUUUUGACCCAUCAGAGCCAGGCAGCAGGGGGAGGAGAAAUGCCUUCCGGCCAUGCUGCCAUCAGGAAAGGCAGAAUGGGGGCGGCUGAGGUAAGGUGGCGGGCAGGGAAGCACUUCUUCUUACAAGGGCCUGCUUCCAGAAGGAUCUGACCCUCCUGUAAAGGUCUGAGGCUCUAGAUCAAAGAACUGAGUCAGGGCCUGUGUGCUGACCCUGUUUAGGAUGCGGACAUGUCUAUCUCCUAUGAACAUGGCACCGGGCUCCAUGGUACGUGGUUGAAUGGGAAGCUCAGGGUGUGGAGUUUUCCAGCAUACACUGAAAGAGACAGGAGGUAGCUUGCCUCUGGGCAAGGUGGUGUUGGUUCCUUGUGAGUGGAAACUGUCUAGGUAGAACGGGACACAUGGGAAUGCUUUGGGGCCUGGUUGCUGCCAACCUCUCAGCCUACAGGACAGUAACCUUGAGCUUGCUCCUGUAAGCCAUACUGGGUAACUGUUCUAUCUCUGUGGGCUUGGCCAUGCUAGCAAGAGAGAUCACAGUACAAAUGUUGUCUGUAGGUGGGGUUGUGCAGAACAGGGCAUAGUUCUUGGGCCCAGUGCUAAGAGCAAGACUCCAUGCCUGGGGCCACAGGUCAGACUGUGGCUGCAGGGCAUGUCUAGGCUCAGGCCUGUGGAGUCUGGAAUGGGCUUCCUCCAAAGCUGCUGAGUUGAACCCACUUCUCCUCACUCAGCUACUUCCUAUCCCACUGCUGUCUGGUUCAGCCUCCAUUUUCUCCUGAUGAGCAACAAGAACGGUUGAUGACAUCAGCAGUUUCUACGCUUUCCUAAGGAGCCACUUACCAAAUACAGUCUCACGUAGAGCACAUCACAUAGCGUAAAGACAAAGCCGACCCCGCCUAACAUAACCAGGAGAUGGGCAAGCUUCUCACCGUCUGCCAGGAGAUGUUUGAAACUCUCAAGAAUGAGCAGCACUUGUCCCCUGCGGAAGAGAGGGCACAGACAUCACUGUAACGUCCAGCGUACACAGGAAGAAAACAGAGCUUGUGGUCAAUAACAGGAUUUGUAGGAUGGGGAUUCCCAGCCAGCAGGGACAGCCAUCUUGAAGACACUCGAGAACUCUGUGAGGACUGCCAGGAUGCUCUUUGAACAUGACUUUGGUGAUCUGUGGGCAUCUCUGCCCCUCUCCCACAUCACCAGUGUUUAUUAACAUCAUGGGUUUAAAAAAAUCUUUUCUAAUUUGAAC
rnacentral:lncRNA from 1 species